rnacentral:rRNA from 1 species
GUGGGGAAUUUUGGACAAUGGGCGAAAGCCUGAUCCAGCCAUGCCGCGUGCAGGAUGAAGGCCUUCGGGUUGUAAACUGCUUUUGUACGGAACGAAAAGACUUCUUCUAAUACAGGAGGUCCAUGACGGUACCGUAAGAAUAAGCACCGGCUAACUACGUGCCAGCAGCCGCGGUAAUACGUAGGGUGCAAGCGUUAAUCGGAAUUACUGGGCGUAAAGCGUGCGCAGGCGGUUAUAUAAGACAGAUGUGAAAUCCCCGGGCUCAACCUGGGAACUGCAUUUGUGACUGUAUAGCUAGAGUACGGUAGAGGGGGAUGGAAUUCCGCGUGUAGCAGUGAAAUGCGUAGAUAUGCGGAGGAACACCGAUGGCGAAGGCAAUCCCCUGGACCUGUACUGACGCUCAUGCACGAAAGCGUGGGGAGCAAACAGGAUUAGAUACCCGUGUAGUCC